rnacentral:rRNA from 1 species
CCUACGGGUGGCAGCAGUGAGGAAUAUUGGUCAAUGGACGCAAGUCUGAACCAGCCAUGCCGCGUGCGGGAAGACGGCUCUAUGAGUUGUAAACUGCUUUUGUACGGGGGUAAACGCGGGGACGCGUCUCUGGAUGAAAGUAUCGUACGAAUAAGGAUCGGCUAACUCCGUGCCAGCAGCCGCGGUAAUACGGAGGAUUCAAGCGUUAUCCGGAUUUAUUGGGUUUAAAGGGUGCGUAGGCGGUCUGAUAAGUUAGAGGUGAAAUCCCGAGGCUCAACUCCGGAAUUGCCUUUGAUACUGUCCGGCUAGAGAUGAGUUGAGGUAGGCGGAAUGUACGGUGUAGCGGUGAAAUGCUUAGAGAUCAUACAGAACACCGAUUGCGAAGGCAGCGUACCAAGCUACUUCUGACGCUGAGGCACGAAAGCGUGGGGAGCAAACAGGAUUAGAUACCCCAGUAGUC